GUUUGAUCCUGGCUCAGAUUGAACGCUGGCGGCAUGCCUUACACAUGCAAGUCGAACGGCAGCACGGGAGCAAUCCUGGUGGCGAGUGGCGAACGGGUGAGUAACAUAUCGGAACGUGCCCAGUAGUGGGGGAUAGCCCGGCGAAAAGCCGGAUUAAUACCGCAUACGACCUGUGGGUGAAAGCGGGGGAUCGCAAGACCUCGCGCUAUUGGAGCGGCCGAUAUCAGAUUAGCUUGUUGGUGGGUAAAAGCCUACCAAGGCGACGAUCUGUAGCUGGUCUGAGAGGACGACCAGCCACACUGGGACUGAGACACGGCCCAGACUCCUACGGGAGGCAGCAGUGGGGAAUUUUGGACAAUGGGCGCAAGCCUGAUCCAGCCAUGCCGCGUGCGGGAGAAGGCCUCGGUGUAACGACUUG
rnacentral:rRNA from 1 species